ensembl:lncRNA
ACCGUUUUAAUAAUCAUUCAAAUCACAGGUCGUGGGUGGGUGUAUGACUUAAUACAAUGAUUUGGUUCAUCAGUGGUUCAUGAAAUCAUCAGUGACAUAUCCACAUUACAUCAUGAACAUCAAUUGAUUACAUCAUCAUGAUUUUAAAGUUCAUCAGUUCGGUUGUUUGAGUACUUUUAAAAAAAAUGCACAGAAUCUUGAAGGUAGUUGUUUGCAAGAAAAGGAGAAACCGCCUGGGUGCUCGCCGUGCCAUCAGAAUCAUUAUCUCAGCCGCUCGACUCCUUAAACCCUCUGAAAGGGUAACGGUAGUAACUCAUUCCUCACUUGGUGGUUUCCCAUCCUGUAUGGCUCUCAGGUCUUCAGUCAUGAUAACUCACUGUCCCUCAUGAAUCACAGGGCCUGAGGUGAAGACAGACGACUCAUCUCCUUCGCCAUCUGUCCCCUUUUGACAAGCUUGUCGAAGGAAGAUGUCGGUUCAUCAUCAUAACGCUCUCUGCUACAGCGGCUCUAGUCUCCUCUCCCGCAGCGGCUCUAGGUCUCCUCUCACGCAGCGGCUCUAGUCUCCUCUGCCGCAGCGGCUCUAGGUCUCCUCUCACGCAGCGGCUCUAGUCUCCUCUGCCGCAGCGGCUCUAGUCUCCUCUCCCGCAGCGGCUCUAGGUCUCCUCUCACGCAGCGGCUCUAGGUCUCCUCUCACGCAGCGGCUCUAGGUCUCCUCUGCUACAGCGGCUCUAGGUCUCCUCUCACGCAGCGGCUCUAGGUCUCCUCUGCUACAGCGGCUCUAGGUCUCCUCUGCUACAGCGGCUCUAGGUCUCCUCUGCUACAGCGGCUCUAGUCUCCUCUGCUACAGCGGCUCUAGGUCUGUACCAGAAGUGUGAAAGCUGAUACAGGCUUUCUAAACCUGACCUCUGCCUCGUCUCUCCUCUUAUCCCCCCCCCACCCCAG